CAGUCGCCGCGGAAUACGUAGGUGGCAAGCGUUGUCCGGAAUUAUUGGGCGUAAAGGGCUCGCAGGCGGUUUCUUAAGUCUGAUGUGAAAGCCCCCGGCUCAACCGGGGAGGGUCAUUGGAAACUGGGAAACUUGAGUGCAGAAGAGGAGUGUGGAAUUCCACGUGUAGCGGUGAAAUGCGUAGAGAUGUGGAGGAACACCAGUGGCGAAGGCGACUCUCUGGUCUGUAACUGACGCUGAGGAGCGAAAGCGUGGGGAGCGAACAGGAUUAGAUACCCGAGUAGUCCCUGUCUCUUAUACA
rnacentral:rRNA from 1 species